ensembl:lncRNA
AUGGCCACAUGCUUUAGCACUGGAGUUUUUCCACUCUUUUUAAAGCUGCCACCCCAGGGCAGGGCUGCACUUCCUGAGAGGAUUUCAGCACUUUUGAUCCAAAAUUUUGGCUUUUUUUUUUGGACAACCAGCAAUACCAAAAUUUUUCUGGGUGCAAUCCAAGCUGGAAAGAUGGGAUACUUCUCCCUGUGUUCCACAAUCCUGUCCGCCACUGUCACUGCAAUAGGCAACAUCAGAUCUGUUGUGUUCCUAGGAAAAGCACACAGAAUUCAUCCAGCUCAAUACAUCUGGUAUUUCCUCUGUGCGAAAGUAGAGCAAGGCAAAAUGACCAUCAGCCUCUUCAGCUGGGUUUUCAAGGAGGGGCGGAGCAGUGCUGCAUGGUCCACAUCAGGCUCCCAAAGGGGCAGAGCAAUCUCUUUAAUGCAUUGACAGUGAGAAAAGAGUUGAUACUACAUCACAUCUAAACAGCUUGUAUUCAUGCGUACUUUUGUGUUGGGUGAGUCCUAUGGAAAAUUGCACCUAUGAAAGCAGGCUAAAACUGCUUCAAAUCUGACUACUUUUCCUAAUGGAAGAUUUUUGUAAAUACAUAAGCGACCUUGUCAUUGCCAUGGAACUUCUCUUCAGAUGGCUUCCUCAUUUUUCUCCUAUAAAUUGAUCAUUCCAGGGGAUGGGAAGCAGUUACACGUAGAUUUAAAUCCCAGGUUGAAUGGAAAGAGCUAUUUUAUGGCCUGCAAGGGUAUGUGGUAUCACUCAAAAAUCAGCAGUUUCAGUAAAUUUGUUGGUGGCUUCAGCAAGUUUCUGAUGAGGAUCAGAAUCCUGAUCAACCAUCUCUCUUUGUAAAAUGAAAUUUUAGCAACAAGGAGAAAGGAGAAUGGUUUAGAUUAGCAUCUCCUUGGCAACAACUUCUUUCAGGACCCAUCUGCCUUUAUGAAGCUCCUUUCAGCUUGCCCUCCCCACAUUUCUAGAGAGGUCAGCAGCUGGGUAACUGUUCCUUCACAUGUAUUUCUAUUUUGUGACUCCUUUAGACCUUUUGGAGGUGAUCUAAGAGGGAGAAAGAGGAUGAGUCAUAACCUGGGUUUGUGAAACCUAUGGAUUAUGACGCAGUCAGGACCACAGGUAUGAUAAGAACAGCGAAAGAAAUGACAGCUGUGGUAUUCCUGAAGAUGACUGGUCUUUACUGAGGGAAGAUUAUUAGAGAGAAAUAAAAAUGCAUUAUUGAUAUAAGCAUGGUGAAAAAAAUGUGGUAUAUCUGAAAGCAAUAUAAAGAAUAUAAAGCAUCUUUGAGAAGGAAGGUUUUAUGACUCGUUGCACUAUUGCAAUGAGAAUAUAAACAGUGGAGAACACUGACUGAGAUAAGGAAGGUACAUAACAUAAAGCAAAAAUCGCCGUGUAUGUCAUGUGACAGAUGUGAUUACGCUCCCCAGGGGCUCCCAACACAUCGGUGAGUCAACACUGAUAUUAAAGGUCAGAAAUGGUGGGCACAAAUCACAAAAGGGAAUAAAGAGAUCUCCACGCGUGAAGUACUUUAAUGAGGUGAAACUUCCUGUCACGACUGUAAAGUUUAUACGUAUUGACGAUGUCCUGAAAGCCCCAGGAGAGGGUGAGGCAGAAGAAGCUUAUUAAGAAAAUGGGCAGCACGGAGGAUUUAGAACUUACAUAUAUCACUACCGAACAGCCCAAAUCAAUAACUGAAAUAGUCUGUAUGCAUUUGUAUGAGACUGGGAGAUUAAAUUCUACCUUGGAGCUGAACUUCUCUGCUUAAUUACAAAUACAUAAAAGCCAAACAAAAGGAGUCACAGGCAACGUGAUGGAGACCUGGCUCACCGCAAGCAUUCCACAGGAGCUGUCUGCUGCCAUAAAUGUAUCUCGGGAGACCCCAUGGGCAGUUUCCUUUCUGCUUUGCACUACUGCUGUUCUCCAACGGUGUGCUCAUUUCAGAUUAAGCAAGGCAAGAACACCAUUCCGAUCAGUUUGGACAGCAGAGAACCUGCACAAAACCUUGUGCGUGUAGGAGUGGGCUAGGAGUGAUACAGGGAAGAAUUUGUGGUAUUAUUAAAACAUUAGAAAUGCCUGUGUGCAAAAAAAUGUAGAACUAGCCAAAUAACCCAACACUCUGCUAUCUCAUAUCAUCAGAGUUGAAUUGUGACCAGUUACACUGAUGGUGGUCAUUGACCUUUUUUUGGUCUGUGGAUCCUCACUAUUCUCCAGUGCAGACUGAGCCUCCUUGAUUCUGACUGGAAGCCUACCUGCAAUAGUUGGUACUGCUGAC